rnacentral:lncRNA from 1 species
CCCUUCCCGAGUUGCUAGCAGAGGGCUAGGCCUGGGCGGGAGCUCCCACUUCCGGCAAGGGCAAGAGGUUCCCCGUCGGGAGCCGGUGGAGCCGGAGUGACAUCACUGAGCAGAGAUGGGAGCAAGCAGAAAUGGGGGUCACCAGAUGAGGUGCAGGGAGAGGCGGGGCUCCGGGAGGGCAGGGACUGCCGUGGGGAAAGUCUUUGCCUGCUUAGUUUAGGCUUCCUUCCUGUCCCCUAGAUCUCUCUCUCCCAGGUGGAAACUGGCUUAACUCUGUUUCCCCCACGCGCACACCCUGAAGGCUUCAUGAGAGGUGGUGAAAGCAGACGGGUCAGGGCCGCCGCUCACACCUUUCCAGCUGCUCCUGCCGAGUCCCCAGAAAGUUCGGAGAUGAUGACAACAGCAGCAUUCCAGCCCCUCCAAUGGUAAGGGUGCCGCUAGACCCAGUAAGUACUGCUGUUUGCUCAUGGACUUGACCUACCUGGAAAUCUGGCACAGUAGCAGUCUGCUUGGAGGGCUUACAUGGG